rnacentral:lncRNA from 1 species
GCUUACAUUUGCUAGCUGUCUCAAAGUAAUAAUAUCAGUCUCAAUAGAGUUUCAUUAGAGUUUUAUUAAUAUUAAAUAUGCUAAUAUGACACUAUAUUAAUGAAGAAAGAUGAUAAAAGAUUUAUGAGAGUAGAGGAAGUUUUAUGAGGAUAAAACUCUUUCCCACAGUUUUUAAAAUAUAAAGGUAUUGAAAACUCGAUGAUGAAAUCCCUGAGGAUCGCCUAAUAAAUCUCAAUCACAGAUGACAAGCAUGAGUGACAUAAAUAAAUAAAUAAAUAAAUAAAUAAAACAUGUAUAUAUCGUGUGAGUCGAUCCGAGAAUCCGAUGCCAACAAUUCCAACCUUUGACCAUGAGUCGAUCCGGCCAAGCAUAGCUAGUGCCUCUCUCGAAUGAUCUGAACCAUCAUUGUACUUUGCAUGGCCAGCAGCCAGCAUGCUCUCGCUGAUUUCUGAAAGCUCACCAAAUCAUCAAACAAGUGACGGGAAUGAACUCGUUGAUGACCAAACAAAAAAAAAAAGUGGGUGAAGAAGCUAUGGCACGC